rnacentral:rRNA from 1 species
AUGUUGCAGAAUUUUCUCUCUUUGUCUUCACCUCUAUAUGGUGUUACGGAAAAAAAGUUUUGCAACAUGACUGAUGUUGCAGAAAUAUUUCUUGUAACAGAUUCGAUGUUGCAAAACAAAACUCCGCCGUCGUUCGCCGCUAGCCCGUUGGGCGGUGGUUAUGGAGGAGCGGCGCCGUCCAUUCCCGCCGCCCGCGAGCAUCAAACCUCCGACCAGGUCGCCUCACGGGGAGGCACGCGACUCAAUGGGAGCUCGGGGCAGUCGGAGCAGCACUGGGAGGCGACGACUCGACGGGAGCUCGGGGCAGUCGGAACAGCGCGGGGAGGCGACGACUCAACGAGAGCUCGGGAGGAGCACGAGCGGCGACUUCUAUCAAAGAUCCAGAUCCUGCAACAGAGCGGUUGUUGCGAUGAGAGUGAUUGCAACAACGGGCCAGUUACAAAAAUUAAUGGUGGUGGCCAUAGGGCACGUGGCGUGCAGACAAGGUGA